rnacentral:rRNA from 1 species
GCGCAGCCGCGGUAAUUCCAGCUCCAAUAGCGUAUAUUAAAGUUGCUGCAGUUAAAAAGCUCGUAGUUGGAUUUGUGGCGCGGCCGUCCGGCGGGGGUCCUUCUAUGGUCUCGUUUGUCCUGGUUUUCGGCCGCUCCUUUCUCGGGUAGAGCGUAAUGGCUGGCAUUAGGUUGUCGGCCGCUUCGCGCCCGUCGUUUACUGUGAAAAAAUUAGAGUGUUCAAAGCAGGCUUAGGCCGUUGGAUACAUUAGCAUGGAAUAAUGAGAUAGGGCCACGGCGGUCUAUUUUGUUGGUUUGCACGUUGUGGUAAUGAUUAACAGGAACGGUUGGGGGUAUUCGUAUUCAAUUGUCAGAGGUGAAAUUCUUGGAUUUGUGGAAGACGAACUACUGCGAAAGCAUUU